CCUACGGGAGGCUGCAGUGAGGAAUAUUGGUCAAUGGCCGGAAGGCUGAACCAGCCAUGCCGCGUGAAGGUCAGUGCCCUAUGGGCGUUAAACUUCUUUUGUGCGGGAGCAAUAAUGGUCACGUGUGGCCAGACGAGAGUACCGUAUGAAUAAGCAUCGGCUAACCCCGUGCAAGCAGCCGCGGUAAUACGGGGGAUGCAAGCGUUAUCCGGAUUUAUUGGGUUUAAAGGGUGCGUAGGCUGGGAGGUAAGUCAGCGGUGAAAUGCCCCCGGUCAACGGGGGGAAGUGCCAUUGAUACUGGCUUGCUUGAAUGCGGAUGCCGUGGGAGGAAUGUGUGGUGUAGCGGUGAAAUGCAUAGAUAUCACACAGAACACCGAUUGCGAAGGCAUCUCACGAAUCCGCGAUUGACGCUGAUGCACGAAAGCGUGGGUAUCAAACAGGAUUAGAUACCCUGGUAGUC
rnacentral:rRNA from 1 species